ACGGUAUAUGUCUUUCGGGACAUAGAGAGUGGCGAACGGGUGCGUAACGCGUAUGCAACCUACCUUGUACAGGGGAAUAGCCCGGAGAAAUUCGGAUUAAUGCCCCAUGGUAUCACCAGAUGGCAUCUGAAGGUGAUUAAAGAUUUAUCGGUACAAGAUGGUCAUGCGUGACAUUAGUUAGUUGGCGGGGUAACGGCCCACCAAGACUAUGAUGUCUAGGGGUUCUGAGAGGAUGAUCCCCCACACUGGUACUGAGAUACGGACCAGACUCCUACGGGAGGCAGCAGUAGGGAAUAUUGGUCAAUGGGCGAGAGCCUGAACCAGCCAUGCCGCGUGCAGGAUGACGGCCUUCUGGGUUGUAAACUGCUUUUAUACGGGAAGAAAAAACCUUUGCGAAGGGAAUUGCCGGUACCGUAUGAAUAAGCACCGGCUAACUCCGUGCCAGCAGCCGCGGUAAUACGGAGGGUGCAAGCGUUGUCCGGAGUUAUUGGGUUUAAAGGGUGCGUAGGCGGGUCUUUAAGUCAGUGGUGAAAGCCUGCAGCUUAACUGUAGAACUGCCAUCGAUACUGGAGACCUUGAGUGUACUAGAGGUAGGCGGAAUUUAUGGUGUAGCGGUGAAAUGCAUAGAUACCAUAAAGAACACCGAUAGCGUAUGCAGCCUACUGGAGUACAACUGACGCUGAGGCACGAAAGCA
rnacentral:rRNA from 1 species